AAGCCUUCCCUUGCCUCUCCUUACAUAUCUAAACCUUCCCCAUCCAUUCCUCCAUAUAACCAACCAUUCAACCACCAUAACCACCUUGUGUCGCCACCAUUGAAGGAGAGGAGAGGUCAGAGGCAAAGGGGCUUAGAGUGAGAAAAGGCAAGGAGAAACUGACGGGAGCAACACAGAGAGCAAAGUUUCACUCCAUUUUUCUUGGUUUUAUCUUCUCAAACCCAUGUUUUACUUUUGGUUUAAUUUGAUAAUAAUGUGUAACUAAAUUUAUUUUGGCUAGAGGUUAAUUCAAAGCCAUGAAUAUAUUUGUAAUAUGAAUUGAUUA
rnacentral:lncRNA from 1 species